rnacentral:tRNA from 1 species
GGAGAGGUGCCCGGAGUGGUUGAUCGGGGACCAACGAGAGGUCGGGCCUCCCGGGGCCCACGCAGGUUCAAAUCCUGCCCUCUCCGCCA